AUGCAGGGCGCGGCUUCGUCUUCAAGCACCUCUUGGGCAGCCUUCUCGUCCUCAGACCGAGGCGCCCCACGCCGAGCGUGGCCUUCGGAGGGCUUCUCCUGUCGCCCUGGUGCAGCAGCCCACAGGAAGCCGACUGUGGAGGCGGAGGCAGGGCCGGGAGUACGGAGCAGACCGGGCGGUUUUGCGACGACGGUGGUGAUGUGUCGCAGGUGGGAGCCCUGGCACGAUGACACUGUGCCACAUCAGAGGGCUUGGAGGUGGAUCCACCUCCAUCAGCUCUUCCUCCACAGGUGGAUCCACCUCCAUGGGCUCCACACCGUCCGCUGCGGCUGCUCCGCCUCUGCUCUCUGUCCUCCGCCUCCACUUCUUCUUAGGCUCAAUCGCCCAAUUCGUACCGCUCCCACGAAGCCGUGGGCAGCCUUCAUCCCAGGACCUCUUAAGGACAACCAUCGCUGCCAUUUGCCAGAGGGCCUGGGAGAUCAGCGAGGGGUGGGCCAGGCGCAGGGGCUUUUAUAGGCCCCGGAACACAGUGGGGGGCGGAUGCCACAGUGACAUCAGGGAGCCUCAGUGAUGCCCCUGUGAUGGCGCCCCUUGCCCCACGCCCAAUGUGGCCGUGUUGGGAGGGGGCUUGUGCGGCCUGAAAGAGGCCCUCGUGUGGCAGGAGGAGGAGGGUCAGGGGGGCUGAGGGCCCCUUUCCUGGCGGUGGCUCUCCCAUCUUGUGACUGGGCACCACCAAAAAGAGUCCAGAGGAUAAGAGGAGUCUUAUCAAUAGAGAGGGAGAAGAUGCCCUAUCAGCCUGCUCUUCUACAGGCUAAAUGAGCUCAGCUCCCUCAGCCUUGCCUCCUAUCAGAGAUGCUCGGCUCUCCUAAUCAUCUUUGUAGCCCUCUGCUGGACUCUCUGCAGCAGCUCCAGGUCUCUCUUGCACUGGGGAGCCCAGCACUGGACACAGCCCUCCACACAUGGCCUCAGCAGGGCUGAGUGGAGGGGCAGGAUCACCUCACCUGCCAUGCUGGCAACACUCGUCCCAGUGCAAGCCCAGGAUCCCACUGGCCUUCUUGGCCACAGGGGCCCUUUGCUGGCUCACACUUAACCUGUUGUCUGCAAGGACUGCCCGGUCCUUCUCCACAGGGCUGCUUUCCAGCAGGCCAGCCCCCAGCCUGGUGCGUGGCGUGAUUCCUCCCUAGGCACAGGACACCGCAUUUGCCACUGCUGACCUUCAUGAGGUUCCUCUCUGCACAACUCUCCAGCCUGUCCAGGUCUCUCUGAAUGGCAGCACAGCCGUGCAGUAGAUCAGAUCAGCCACUCUUCCCACUUCUGUGUCACCAGCAGCCUUGCUGUACGACUGGAAGCAGGGCAAGUGUGUGCAGAGUUAAGCUCUAUCUGGCAGCCUGCUUGACUCCCAGGAGAGAAAAAGGACCGGAAACAAAAAGACUUUGACCACUAUCUACAGGAAUAGGGUAGAGAAAUCAAAAAUGAGAUAUCAGCUCAAAUGAGUUGGUAUGCUUAAACCAAAACC
rnacentral:lncRNA from 1 species